GAUGAACGCUGGCGGCGUGCCUAAUACAUGCAAGUCGAGCGAAUGGAUUAAGAGCUUGCUCUUAUGAAGUUAGCGGCGGACGGGUGAGUAACACGUGGGUAACCUGCCCAUAAGACUGGGAUAACUCCGGGAAACCGGGGCUAAUACCGGAUAACAUUUUGAACCGCAUGGUUCGAAAUUGAAAGGCGGCUUCGGCUGUCACUUAUGGAUGGACCCGCGUCGCAUUAGCUAGUUGGUGAGGUAACGGCUCACCAAGGCAACGAUGCGUAGCCGACCCGCCAGGGCGAUCGGCCACACUGGGACUGAGAGACGGACCAGACUCCUACGGUAGGCAGCAGUAGGGAAUCUUCCGCAAUGGACGAAAGUCUGACGGAGCAACGCCGCGUGAGUGAUGAAGGCUUUCGGGUCGUAAAACUCUGUUGUUAGGGAAGAACAAGUGCUAGUUGAAUAAGCUGGCACCUUGACGGUACCUAACCAGAAAGCCACGGCUAACUACGUGCCAGCAGCCGCAGUAA
rnacentral:rRNA from 1 species